rnacentral:rRNA from 1 species
CGGAUCGCUAAACUUCUAUCAGCAGGGAAGAAAUUGACAGUACCUGACUAAGAAGCCCCGGCUAACUACNUGCCAGCAGCCGCGGUAAUACGUAGGGGGCAAGCGUUAUCCGGAAUUACUGGGUGUAAAGGGUGCGUAGGCGGUAAUACAAGUCAGAUGUGAAAGCCCAAGGCUUAACCUUGGGAUUGCAUUUGAAACUGUAUAACUAGAGUACAGGAGAGGAAAGUGGAAUUCCUAGUGUAGCGGUGAAAUGCGUAGAUAUUAGGAGGAACACCGGUGGCGAAGGCGACUUUCUGGACUGUAACUGACGCUGAGGCACNAAAGCGUGGGGAGCGAACAGGAUUAGAUACCCUGGUAGUCCACGCUGUAAACGAUGAAUGCUAGGUGUUGGCCCGUGAAGGGUCGGUGCCGCAGCUAACGCAUUAAGCAUUCCACCUGGGGAGUACGAUCGCAAGGUUGAAACUC